UUUUUUGGGGAAAAUUUACAAGGUUCGAGGGGAACCUGCGGAAGGAUCAUUAACGAGGUUUUUGAAAGGGGUUGUAGCUGGCCGAAAAACCAGGCAUGUGCACACCCUGCUCAAUCCACUCUUAACCCCCUGUGCCACUUACUGUAGGCUUUGGUGGGAUGGCUGACUUUGGUUGGCUUGAAAGCCUUGCCUAUGUCUAUUACAAACACUUAAAGUUAUAAGAAUGUAACAUAGCGUCUAACGCAUUAAAUACAACUUUCAGCAACGGAUUCUCUUGGCUCUCGCAUCGAUGAAGAACGCAGCGAAAUGCGAUAAGUAAUGUGAAUUGCAGAAUUCAGUGAAUCAUCGAAUCUUUGAACGCACCUUGCGCUCCCUUGGUAUUCCGAGGAGCAUGCCUGUUUGAGUGUCAUGGAAUUAUCCACUUUCAAAACUUUUGUUAUGGAAGCUGGGACUUGGAGGUCGUGUCGGCUUAGGUCGACUCCUCUGAAAUGUAUUAGCGUGAAUCUUACGGAUCGCCUUCAGUGUGAUAAUUGUCUACGCUGUGGUGUGAAGUAUACUAGUGUUCGUGCUUCUAACCGUCCUUCGGGACAAUUACUUGACCAUUUGACCUCAAAUCAGGUAGGACUACCCGCUGAACUUAAGCAUAUCAAUAAGCGGAGGAAAAGAAACUAACAAGGAUUCCCCUAGUAACUGCGAGUGAAGCGGGAAAAGCUCAAAUUUAAAAUCUGGCAGCUUUGGCUGUCCGAGUUGUAGUCUGGAGAAGCGUCUUCCGCGCUGGACCGUGUACAAGUCUCUUGGAACAGAGCGUCAUAGAGGGUGAGAAUCCCGUCCAUGACACGGACUACCAGUGCUUUGUGAUGCGCUCUCAAAGAGUCGAGUUGUUUUGGGAAUGCAGCUCAAAAUGGGUGGGUAAAUUCCAUCUAAAGCUUAAAUAUUUGGCGAGAGAACCGAUAGCGAACAAGUACCGUGAGGGAAAGAUGAAAAGCACUUUGGAAAGAGAGUUAAACAGUACGUGAAAUUGCUGAAAGGGAACCGCUUGAAGUCAGUCGCGUCUUGCAGAACUCAACCUGGCAUUUGCUUGGUGCACUUUCUGUAUGACGGGCCAACAUCAGUUUUGACUGCUGGAGAAAUUCCUUAGGAAUGUGGCACCUACGGGUGUGUUAUAGCCUUUGGUUGUAUAUCAGUGGUUGGGACUGAGGACCGCAGCACGCCUUAUGGCCGGGGUUUCGCCCACGUACCUGCUAGGAUGUGCCAAUAGGGUUUUACCCCCCUAAACGCAAA
rnacentral:rRNA from 1 species